AUAAGGAGGAUGCAAGCGUUAUCCGGAUUUAUUGGGUUUAAAGGGUGCGUAGGCGGAGGAGUAAGUCAGGGGUGAAAUGCCGCAGCUCAACUGCGGAACUGACUUUGAUACUGCUUUUCUGGAGUUCGGAUGCCGUGGGAGGAAUGGGCAGUGUAGCGGUGAAAUACAUAGAUAUUGCCCAGAACACCGAUUGCGAAGGCAGCUCCCUGAUCCGGGACUGACGCUGAGGCACGAAAGCGUGGGGAUCAAACAGGAUUAGAUUCCCUGGUAGUCCACGCAGUAAACGAUGAGAACUAACCGUCGGCGAUAGAAUUUCGGUGGCCAAGCGAAAGCAAUAAGUUAUCCGCCUGGGGAGUACGUUCGCAAGAAUGAAACUCAAAGGAAUUGACGGGG
rnacentral:rRNA from 1 species